rnacentral:lncRNA from 1 species
AGGGCUAGCUACUAUACUCUUAUGACUAUAGAGUCCUUCGUACUCAUAAGUUGUUUUCGGUAUUGGGAUUUUUGAAUCGACGAUCCGUACCGUUAAAUAUGAUCUAGAGUAUUUGAAACUUCUAGAAAAUAUAUAAAUUUCGUAAUUUUUAGAAAUCAUUAUAAAGUCCAUCAAGUGGAUAAAAAAUGAACGGUUAAAAUCGAACGACAUUCUAAAAAUGGAUGAUCGGAUUCUUCAAUUUAAGAUCGGAGUUAUUGAUCUUUAUUUAGGUAGUGAAUAGAAUUUUCUAUCAAAAAUUCAACCAAUUUAGAUUCUUUUUCACCAUUAAACUAGCAAAUAUCUCAUAUUGGCCGUUAAAAAUUGUCAAUUUUAUGAGCUUUUGAUCAUAAGGUAAAUAAUAUCGAAAAAUUAUUAAAUUUAAUUUUUAGAAAUUUUAAAUGCUCUAAAUAAUAUUUAACAAUAUGAAUCGCCGAUUCGGAAGCUCUAUCAUCGAAAACAACUUAUGAGUACGAAGACGAUCCGUACUCAUAAGAGUAUAGUAGCCGGACUAUAUAU